UACGGGGGGGGCAAGCGUUGUUCGGAAUUACUGGGCGUAAAGGGCGCGUAGGCGGCCUGCUAAGUCGGAUGUGAAAACUCUGGGCUCAACCCAGAGCCUGCAUUCGAAACUGACGGGCUUGAGUUCUGGAGGGGAAAGCGGAAUUCCUGGUGUAGCGGUGAAAUGCGUAGAUAUCAGGAGGAACACCGGUGGCGAAGGCGGCUUUCUGGACAGAAACUGACGCUGAGGCGCGAAAGCUAGGGGAGCAAACAGG
rnacentral:rRNA from 1 species